rnacentral:lncRNA from 1 species
AGAGGCAGAAAUGGAGGUUGGGUCAGGCCUGGCUCAGACCCUAGGCUCUGUCACUGACUGGCUGUGUGGGUCCAGGAAAGUCCUUGUCCUCUCUGGGCCUCAGUUUCCUCUGAAGAAUGGGAGUGAUAAGCUAUGCCCCAUCUCCUUCACCAAAAGGAAGCAAGACCUGAUGGAGCUGCUGGGUAACUGGAGAUGCCUCCUGCUGGCUCCUUUCUGGGGUCCCUGCCUAGCCCUGUCCUCUCCUCUUACUUUCUGCCCUGGCUGAGUAGGCUGUGGCCAUGUGGUUACUGCCUUCUCUGGGCAUAGCUGAUUGCUUCAUAUGGCCUGACCUAAGGCUGCAUGUCCAAAGUCUGGUUGGUGGCCAGUCUAACUCACUUUUGAGAACCUGCACUAAAAGAGGUAGGGGGUGGGAAAAACUGGGCAGGCCAGCGGAGGUGGGGAGUGGCAGCUCUGAGACCUGAAGCCUCAGAACCAGCUCUCCUCCUCCUCUUCCUCCUCAAGAUGGACCUCAACUCACUGAACUCUGGUUCACUCUUUUGGUCCCAGAGCUAAUUCUUUGGUUGUUUAAGGUUUAGCAUAGGAGACCCCAAAGCAGCAAGGUUCUGGCCCUGGUUCUGCCACUUGCCAGCUCCACGCCCUCAGAUCAGUGGCUUCAGAGCCUCAACGUGCUCAGCUGUGAAACAGGGACAGGGUGAGGCCUUCCCAGGUAUGAUCCACUGUGCCCAUCCUGGAUGCAGACUUUAAGCAGAGUCACAUCAACAAGAAGAGCUGUGAAGGUCAGGGCAUGACCCACAGAUGCCCAAACACUGCACUGGAGGUCCAGGAAGAUUCUGCUGACAACGCAACCCUGAGCCAAGAUCUGAAGGAUAAGAGGGAGCUUAUAACAUGGAAGAAGGAACAGUAUUCCUGGCAAGUGGAACAGCAUGUGCAAAGGUCAGGUGGUAAGAGGGGCUUCAAGGACAGUCCUAUGGCUGGAGCAGAGUGAUUGAGGGCAUGUGAAAUGAGAGGUGGCCAGGGUGGCAGGCAGGGACUAGCCCAAUGGCCGUGAAAGGGAUGGGACUUUGGUCACUGUUUCGCAUUUCCAGAUGUUUACUAUGUGCCAGGCUUGGUACUAAAUGCUUUUCUGGAAUAUCUCACUAGAUUCUCACAUAGAUGAAGGGCUUGAUCUUAGAGAGGUUAGAUCCCUCAGCCGAGAGCCCACAGUGAGGAAGCCAUGGGGCCUGUGUCCCUGACUGCAAGACCUGUGCUCAGAACGGCCAGGCCACACAGACCUCAACUCUCACUACAACCUCCUGAAGUCGGUGUGGUUACUCUUCCCACUUUACAGAUGAGGACAUGGGCCCAGAGAGGUUAUGUGAGUGACACAGCUUGAAGGUGGAGUUAAGCCUGGGCAGUCUGGCUUCAGAGUGUCCACAGUCUCAACCACUGCCUCACAUGGCUUCUUAGAAAAUAUUAUAAAAAGAAGCUCGGGCUGCCAUGUGGAAAAGAAUGGAGAGGGGACAAUGACACAGCUGGGAGCAUGCUGUGAUGGUGUACAGCGGACACAUUCAGGAUGAGGUGAAACAGGCUGGCCCUGGUGAGAGGCUAGAUGGGGCUGGGAUGAGGGUGGAGACAAGUAGUCUUGGGGUUGGCUUGGUGCAGCUGGGGGGUGCGGGGAGUGUCUCUGAGGUGAGGCCGGGGGUAUGGGAACGCCAUGUUUGGUCUGGGACACGGUGGGCUUGGGAUGGCUACAGGACAGUGCAGUGGAGAGUCAAAAAGGCUGCUCGGACCCAGGUCUGGCGAGAUGGAAGCUGGAGGUCAGGUGAGCUGUCUAGGAGAGGGACAGAGUGGGAAGGAGAGGGUCUCGACUCGGCUUUCUUGCCAAAGGAGGGUUCCGAAAUGAGAAACUGUGGAAUCUAAGCUGGAGAGGAAGAAAGACGGAGAAUGAGUGAACGCACACGUGUGGGACAGAUAGAUGAAUAUUCAUGUCUUUGGCUCCUAUGUACCUGAGUCUUCUAAAGCUGCAGGCCAUACUACCCCCGGGAGGCUGCAGGGAUGCCAGCUGGGAGAUGAAUGCAACUCUGCUGCCUGGGCAUGGGCCUGAGUGAGGGUGCAGACCCCUGCCUGUGAUCAUCAGGGAGGGUGAUGAGAACAAGGUGGCUGACAGGCUGCAGGAUCCCUUGCUCGCUCUCUCACAAGCAAAUGUAGACUGCGCAACCAUCCUGACCACAGAUCCAGAAAGCCCAGGACAUAACAGAGCCGCAGUGCCUGCCCUGAUCCACGCGCACACAGAUCUAGCCCAGGAACAAGCCCAUCCACGGUGAGGAACUUGUGGCCCAGUGGCUGGAGCCUCUCACCUGAGCCCUCACUGCCUGAGGACCCCCAGCCUCUGGCCUCAUUUCCCACCCUUUGCCAGCCAGCCUUGGGGACAAAACAGGUCUGGAUCUAAUCCAAGGUCUGGACUCACCCUGACACCCUGUGAACUCAAGGCCUUCCCUACCUCACCCUGGGCCCAGAGCCCCUACCUGUAAAGUGGAAGUGGGAAUGGCCACCAGCCAGGCAGAAACCCUCACUUAGGGCCUCAUGGCCAGGCAUCAGGACAGUCAGGAGAGGGGCCGAGGUAAGCCACAGAGGCCCUGCCUGUCUUGGUAUCCCACCAUCGCCAGGAGGGGACUGCAUGGGCAUCACACCCCUCACAGAUGAACAAAGUGAGGCAGAGAAGGGCCUCAAGAUGAGUUAGGGGCGAGGCCCCAGCUCUGCUGCUGCCCCUUCCCUUAUCACCCCUGCAGCCUGGGAUGCGAGGGUGGCCAGUGACAGACCCCAAGGACUCUAGGCUAAGGUCUCCUUACCUGCGUUCUGUGGCCUGCUCCCCGCCUGCAUGCCGCCUCAUGGGGGUCCUCUGGCUGGCCCAGGAGCACGGUUGGCCCAGCAGAGCAGCUCAGUGUUAUGGGGAAGGGAGGCCCAGCCCACCACGCCGACCGCCUGGGGCCCUAUGUAUAUUUAAUGAUGUCUAUUAUUCCUGUUUUGUCUCUGGAAAGGAGUGAGCAGCUGACAGGGGAGCCACGAACAGCCUGGAGAGCUGAGCAUGGGCCUGCUCCACACUCCAGCGGGGCCCGAGGCCCCCGGGAACUCUACCCCUCCUGGCAGCCUCACAGAACCUGCUGCAUCCAUCUCAAAAGGCAUACCUCCUCCAGGAAGCCUUCCCCGCUGCUCAGAGGUCUUAAAUCCGGGGUCUGCACUCACAAACUGUGCAGCCUACACCAGCUUCUGGGGGACAGCAGAACACUGUGGGGGGCCUGGCACAGUCCCUGGCACACGGUAGGCACUCAUCGAGCCCCUGCCAGCCCCUCUACUCCUGACUUCUGAGGCAACAGGAAAUGACCCGCCACCUUGUUCUCACAGAGCCUCCCUGCCAGCCCAGAUGGUCACAAGGGCCUCCUGGGAUGCUGCCCACCUUGGCAGCCAGGCCCCUCCGGAGGGGCCAGUCUGGGCCUGACACCCCCGAACACCAACCCCCUGGGCAGAGCCUGCCUGUGCCUGGGUGAGGAACCCUGCAGUCUCCUUGCCACACAAGGCCUGGGUCUGCCUUGGGGCCCAGGCUGCACCCUC